rnacentral:rRNA from 1 species
GAUGAACGCUAGCUACAGGCUUAACACAUGCAAGUCGUGGGGCAGCGGAUACUUAGCUUGCUAAGUAUGCCGGCGACCGGCGCACGGGUGAGUAACGCGUACCGAACCUGCCCAUCACACAGGGAUAGGCUUGCGAAAGCAAGAUUAAUACCUGAUGGUCUCAAUUUUAUGCAUGUAUGAUUGAGUAAAGCCUUCGGGCGGUGAUGGAUGGCGGUGCGUCCCAUUAGGAAGUUGGCGGGGUAACGGCCCACCAAUCCUUCGAUGGGUAGGGGUUCUGAGAGGAAGGUCCCCCACAUUGGAACUGAGAUACGGUCCAAACUCCUACGGGAGGCAGCAGUGAGGAAUAUUGGUCAAUGGGCGAGAGCCUGAACCAGCCAAGUAGCGUGCGGGAUGAAGGCCCUUGUGGUCGUAAACCGCUUUUAUCAGUGAAUAAAGUGCACCACGUGUGGUGUCAUUGCAGGUAGCUGAAGAAAAAGGACCGGCUAAUUCCGUGCCAGCAGCCGCGGUAAUACGGAAGGUCCGGGCGUUAUCCGGAAUUAUUGGGUUUAAAGGGAGCGCAGGCGGGAGUAUAAGUCAGCUGUUAAAUAUCAGGGCCCAACUCUGUUAUGCAGUUGAAACUAUAUUUCUUGAGUACGCACAGGGAUGGCGGAAUUCAGGGUGUAGCGGUGAAAUGCUUAGAUAUCCUGAAGAACUCCGAUCGCGAAGGCAGCCAUCCGGAGCGUAACUGACGCUGAGGCUCGAAGGUGCGGGUAUCGAACAGG